UACGUAGGUGGCAAGCGUUGUCCGGAUUUAUUGGGCGUAAAGGGAACGCAGGCGGUGACUUAAGUCUGAUGUGAAAGCCCACGGCUCAACCGUGGAAGGUCAUUGGAAACUGGGUCACUUGAGUGCAGAAGAGGAAAGUGGAAUUCCAUGUGUAGCGGUGAAAUGCGUAGAUAUAUGGAGGAACACCAGUGGCGAAGGCGACUUUCUGGUCUGUAACUGAUGCUGAGGCUCGAAAGCGUGGGGAGCAAACAGG
rnacentral:rRNA from 1 species